CUUACUAGAGGUUUAAAUUUGUUCUCUAUUGUCUAACCUUAUUUACAAUGGGAAUAUAAAUCACUGAUUUUUAGAACUUCUUUCCCAACUAAUUAAAAAAACUAUUUUUUUUCUUUACUCACGCACAUUUGAUAGCAAAUGUGUGAGUUUUCCACUCACAUUCAGCAAUACAGCAACUCUCCAGAGUGUUCAACAGGGUGUCCAAAAAAUUCACUUAUGGCACUAUCCACAUGGAGUUAGAACAGAACCCCCAGGUUAGGGACUCACUUCAGACACAGUUGUAAGUCCCAGGUUAUGAUCUGUACUUACUUCUGCUCAACUAAAAACUGUGCAUUCCUACAACCUCCUCCUCAGGUUCAACAAUUUGCUAGACUGGCUCAGAGAACUUAGGAAAGCACUUAAUUGACUGAUAGUUUAUUAUAGAGGCUACAACUCAAGAACAGCCAAAUGGAAAAGAACCAAAGGGUGAGGUAUGGGGAUGGGGUUGGAAUACAGUUUCCAUGCUCUCCAGGUGUGCCACCCUCUUAGAACCUUAAGGUGUUCACCAACCUGGAUAAUGUACAAACCCGUCAUUAGAGUUUUUAUGAAGGCUUCAUCAUGCGGCAAGAUUGAUGAAACCACUGGCUGUUGGUGACAAAGUUAAUCUCUAGCCCCUGGACUCUGGAGAUCAGUGAGUGUGGCUGGAAGCUCCAAAGAUCUAGUCACAUGGUUGGUUCCUCUGGCAGCGAGCCACAUCCUGAACCUAUCUAUCUAGGGACUUUAGCAGUCAUCUCAUUAGCAUACAAAGAAACACCUUCAUCGCUCUAGAGAUUCCAAAGGGCUUAGAAGCUUUUAUGUUGGGAACUGGGGAGUAACACCAAAUAUUAUAGCAAAAAAGGUUUCUAUCACUCUAUUAUUCAAGAAAUACAAGGAUUUUAAGAACUCUGUGUCAGGAACUGGGGGUAGAGACUAAAUUUAUACUCUGUAGAUAUAUACCAAAUAUAAACAUAUACACACACCCCCCACUGAUCCUUGAACAACAUGGGUUUGAAAUGCAAGGGUCCACUUACACAUUUUUUUUAAUAUAACGAUUUUUUUUUCCAUAUAGCUGGUUUACAGUGUUCUGUCAACUUUCUACUGUACAUCGUUGGGUAGAGUGCUCUAUAAGUAUCAUCUAUGUUAAAGCUGUCAAUAUGAGGAUCAGCUCUUCUAUCUAUUUUGAUGUUAUGCUGUGCCCUGCAAUAUUGGUUGCUAGAAGAAUGGUGUUAAAAUUUCUAACUUGGUAGAACUAUGUAUUUUUUCCCUUUAACACAAAUAAAUUGCAUUAUCAGAGGUAAAAGAAGAAAUGCAUUUUGAAGCUCUGUUAUUAGAUGUGUAUGUGUUUAUUAUUAUGUAUUCUUGAAGAAUUGACCUAUGUCAUUAGGAAAUGCUUCUAUCUCAGGCAACACUUUGUUCUUGCAAUUUAUGUCUUGAGCCUUUUUCUCUUUCCUGUUUGUAGAUACAUUUUGAAUCUAUUUACUUUACUCUAUGUCCUCUUAUUUGAAAUAAGAGCAUCUUUUAUAGGUAUGUGUGGUAUUUGAAGUACAUGACUGUCUAGACAGCAUAUAAUUACAUCUGACUUCUCUUUCAAACUAUUUUGAUAAUUUCCUCAUUUAAUUAGAAUAUUUAUCCCAAUAUUUAAUUUGUAUAUGAUUAGGUCUAUGUUUUUCUCAAUCCUAUUUAUAAAAUGUCUUACCUUUCUUGUCUUUUUUGGAUUAUGUGAAUUUUUUUUAGAAUUCUAUUUUUUAUACACACAAACUUGAAGCAUCAAGAAAAUUUAGUAUGUUUGCAUAUAUUUUAUAUACAUGUAUAUCAAUGAUUUUUCAACCACAAGUGACUUUGGUGUCCAGCGAACAUUUAAUAACCUGUGCAUUUUUGGCUAUCACAAACAGGGCAGAGGGGUUGCUACUGGACCAUAGAGGCCAAGGAUGCUAAAUAUUCUACAACACUUGGGAUAGCUCCCCACAAUGAAGACUUAUCCCCAAAUGUCAAUAGUACUGAAGUUGAGAAAUCGUGCUUUAGGGAUUAUAACAUAAAUUCUUACAUUUCCACAGUCACCCUAUAGUUAGUAUUGGACCAUUUUACAAAUUAGAAACCUUAAAACUAUACAGAAACAUUUCAUCACUGCUCAUUUUCCUUUACUCUAAGGCUGUUAUGUGUAUUACAUCUAUAUAGGUUAUAAACAUAAAUGCAAUGUUUUAAUUUUCCUUUAAACAACCACCUACAUUAUAAAGAAUUUUUUAAAAAUAAAGCAAUCUUUUUUUAUUUACCCAUAUAUUUAUUGUUUCUGAUAUAUCACUUCUGGUGCCCUAUGGUAUUAAUUCUGUUUAGCCUGGAAAAAUUCUUUUAAAAAAAAUUUUUUUUUUCAUUGUAAGUCUGCCAAUAAGGAAUACCGGUAGCUUUCUUUUUUUCUAAAUAAUGUUUUCAUUUUGCCUUAAUUCUUUUUUCAUUUUAGGGCAUCACCUGCAGCAUAUGGAAGUUCCCAGGCUAGGGCUCAAAUCAGAGCUGCAGUUGCUAGGCCUAUGCCACACCCACAGCAAUAUGGGAUCAGAGCUUCAUCUGCAACCAAUGCUGCAACUUGCAGCUACACCAGAUCCUUAACCCACUGAGCACAAAGCCAGGGAUCGAAUCUGCAUCCUCAUGGAUACCAGUCUGGUUCUUAACCCAUUGAGAACUUCUUAACCCAAUGGGAACUUCCUAUUUUGCCCUAAUUCUUAAAGGAUAUGGAUGCUGGAUAUAGAAUACUAAGUUGACAGGUCUUUCUUUUUUCCUUCACCAUUUUAGAAAUGCUGUUCUGCGCUCUUCUGGCUCUAACAUCUCCGAAGAAAAGUCAGCUUCUUCAUCAAAUUUAGGAAAAUACUGGCUAUUAUUUCUUCAAAUAUUUUUUCUGCUCCAUUAUUUUUCCCCUCUAUUUCUGGAACUCCAAGUACACGUAAGUUAAACCACUCAAUAUUAUCUAGCAGAUCUCUGAAGUUCUAUUCAUUUUUAUUUCAGUCUGUACUUUAUAUUAAAUAAUUCUUACUAAUGCACCUUUAAAUUCCCUCAGUUUUUCCUUUGUCAGCUCUAUUUGGCUAUUAGUCCAUUAAGAGUAUCUUUUUUUCAUGUAUUGCACUUUUCAGUUCUGGAAUUUCCAUUAGUUCUUUAUCCUCUUUAUUUUUCUGUGCAGACUUUAUCUCUUCAUUCACUUUGAAUAUAUUGUAUUUACUUCAUAUCAGGUGGUCAUGAUAGCUGUUUUAAGUACUGUCUGUUACCUCCAACAACUGCGCCAUCUUGAUCUUUAUUUCAGUUAAUGGUCUCUUCUCAUGAGACUACACUUCAUUGUCCUUAUUAUUUGUAUGUCAUGUAAUUUUGGAUUGUAUUCUUGACAUUAUAAAUACUAAGACAGAGACUCUGAUGAGUGUUGUUCAUUUUACUUUAGCAUACAAACAUGUUGCCUCAAUGCAGAACUGCAAACGUUUAUUUUUGGAUGAUAGCUAUGGUCCUGAUCCAGUCGAAAUGCUUUGAAUCAGUUCUUUGUAUAUGGGAAUCAGAUAUGAAGAGACAGAAUGCAGGAAUCUGGCUUUAGCCCUUUGCCUUCAAGGAUUUCACCUUAUUUCUGCUGGCUGUGCUUUACCCCAGAAUUGCUUUUCUGGUUCUCUGUUUAGGAGGACUAUAGAUUUCUUCACCAGCACCCUGUAACCCUGCAUGCUAUGUCCAAAGAUUAAAAAUCAUGAAAACAGACAACAGUUCUAUCUAAUUCCCCUUCUUCAAGAUGAUUCCUUUGUUAGAUUCUAACUACUUGUGUUCAGUGCUUUCAAAUGCUGCUUUUUGUGUUAUAUCCAGACAUAAUUUUUUCUAGUAGCAUUG
rnacentral:lncRNA from 1 species